UACGUAGGGGGCGAGCGUUGUCCGGAUUCAUUGGGCGUAAAGCGCUUUAAGGCGGUUCGGUAAGUCGGGUGUGAAACCUCCAGGCUCAACCUGGAGACGCCACUCGAUACUGCUGUGACUAGAGUUCGGUAGGGGAUCACGGAAUUCCUGGUGUAGCGGUGAAAUGCGCAGAUAUCAGGAGGAACACCAGUGGCGAAGGCGGUGAUCUGGGCCGACACUGACGCUGUAGAGCGAAAGCGUGGGGAGCGAUCCGG
rnacentral:rRNA from 1 species